rnacentral:rRNA from 1 species
CUAACCUGUACUAAUUGCCCGUGAGGCUUAACCAUACAACACCCAAGGGGUUUUAG